rnacentral:rRNA from 1 species
GUGGUGGUGUCGCUUGUUCAGCGCUUCAGGCGUGCAUUCUGGCGAUACCUUGUCGUUGUGGCUGGUUGGUAUGUGAAAUUGAUGUACCGGCUGGUGAGGGCUCCCUUUUUGGUGAGGACGACGACGAAAUGACGCAAUACGACCCGUCUUGAAACACGGACCAAGGAGUCUAGCACGGCUGCGAGUCGAAGGGUGUAAAACCCAAGGGCGCAGUGAAAGCGAAUUUAUAAGCAAAUUGGGGAGGCGUGGAGUUUUUAACAAUAUGUCCUACCUUGAGCAUUUGUGCUGGGACCCGAAAGAUGGUGAACUAUGCCGGAGUAGGGCAAAGCCAGAGGAAACUCUGGUGGAGGCUUGUAGAGAUGCUGACGUCCAAAUCGCUCGUCGAACUUGGGUAUAGGGGCGAAAGACUAAUCGAACCAUGUAGUAGCUGGUUCCCUCCGAAGUUUCUCUCAGGAUAGCGGGCCGACAUAUGUUGUUUUGUGCGGUAAAGCGAAUGAUUAGUGCAUUUGGGGUCUCAUAGACCUCGGGCGAUUCUCAAACUUUAAAUGCGCAAGGGGGUGGCUGCUUAAUUGAGCCUACUCUUUGAAAAACGUCGGCCCUGUGGGCCCCUUUUGGUAAGCAGAACUGGCGAUAAGGGAUGAACCUUAAGCGCGGUUAAGGCGCCGCAUUGCCCGCUUAUAGACCCCACAAAAGGUGUUGAUUCAUUUAGACAGCAGGACGGUGGCCAUGGAAGUCGGAAUCCGCUAAGGAGUGUGUAACAACUCACCUGCCGAAUGAAUUAGCCCUGAAAAUGGAUGGCGCUGAAGCGGGCAGCCGACACCGCGCCGUUCCGGCGAGACGAUGCCGGGAUGAGUAGGAGGGCGUGGCGGUCAGUGACGCAGGCGAGGGUGCAGACCCCGCUGAAACGGCCGCUAGUGCAGAUCUUGGUGGUAGUAGCAAAUAUUCAAGCGAGAUCCUUGAAGGGCGAAGCGGGGAAGGGUUCCACGCAAACAUUGAUUGGGCGUGGGUGAGUCGUUCCUAAGCCGAGUGGCAAUUGCUAAGUAGCGGCGAAAGGGAAGCGGGUUAAAAUUCUCGCACACGGAUAUGGAGGCGGCGACGCAAGCAGAGGCAAAUACGCUGGCGAGGGCGCUGGGCAGAGUUGUCUUUUCUGUUUGACCGGCAUCGCGCUGUGUGGAAUCCGCUUAUCGGGAGAAACACGCGCGGGGAGGGGCAGAGCGUCAGGUCUUUUCUGGCGUCCGGCUCGCCCUCGACGGCCCUUGAAAAUUUGCCCGCGAAUUUUAAAUUUCAUGCUGUGACGUACCGAUAACCGCAUCAGGUCCCCAAGGUGAACAGCCUCUGCUCAAUAUGAACAAUGCAGGUAAGGGAAGUCGGCAAAAUAGACCCGUAACUUUGGGAAAAGGGUUGGCUCUAGUGGAGCGGAGGUUUUCAAAGGGUGCUCACCUGUGCUUGGAGCAGGGCGGGUGUGGCUAGCUCACGCUGGACGUGCCUGCUCCGCUUCUUGCGCGGGGGACGUUACUCGCCUUCAGCAUGCUCCAAACUAGAACUGCAACGGGCAAAGGGAAUCCGACUGUUUAAUUAAAACAAAGCAUGCGA